UUCUCAGCUAUAGAUAAUCCAAAUAGAUACUUAAAGGGGUAACAAAAGGUGUCACAUUCCUACCACCCAAAAGACACAAAAUUAAUGAAUAAAUAACAUAAUUACUGAGUAAAGUUCUAGUAAUGCUACCUAAUCAACACUAGAGACCAAACCUAUUGUGAGACAAUGUAUACUGAUCUCUGUUUUACACACACUGACACACAAUAACCAACACUUAAUUAGCGCGCGCGCGCGCACACACACAG
rnacentral:misc_RNA from 1 species